rnacentral:rRNA from 2 species
UUCUCUAGGAAUGGCGGGGGCCUAUACAUGCAAGUCGACGAACUCUGGUAUUGAUUGGUGCUUGCAUCAUGAUUUACAUUUGAGUGAGUGGCGAACUGGUGAGUAACACGUGGGAAACCUGCCCAGAAGCGGGGGAUAACACCUGGAAACAGAUGCUAAUACCGCAUAACAACUUGGACCGCAUGGUCCGAGCUUGAAAGAUGGCUUCGGCUAUCACUUUUGGAUGGUCCCGCGGCGUAUUAGCUAGAUGGUGGGGUAACGGCUCACCAUGGCAAUGAUACGUAGCCGACCUGAGAGGGUAAUCGGCCACAUUGGGACUGAGACACGGCCCAAACUCCUACGGGAGGCAGCAGUAGGGAAUCUUCCACAAUGGACGAAAGUCUGAUGGAGCAACGCCGCGUGAGUGAAGAAGGGUUUCGGCUCGUAAAACUCUGUUGUUAAAGAAGAACAUAUCUGAGAGUAACUGUUCAGGUAUUGACGGUAUUUAACCAGAAAGCCACGGCUAACUACGUGCCAGCAGCCGCGGUAAUACGUAGGUGGCAAGCGUAAAA